GACGAACGCUGGCGGCGUGCUUAACACAUGCAAGUCGAACGGAAAGGCCCUGCUUUUGUGGGGUGCUCGAGUGGCGAACGGGUGAGUAACACGUGAGUAACCUGCCCUUGACUUUGGGAUAACUUCAGGAAACUGGGGCUAAUACCGGAUAGGAGCUCCUGCUGCAUGGUGGGGGUUGGAAAGUUUCGGCGGUUGGGGAUGGACUCGCGGCUUAUCAGCUUGUUGGUGGGGUAGUGGCUUACCAAGGCUUUGACGGGUAGCCGGCCUGAGAGGGUGACCGGCCACAUUGGGACUGAGAGACGGCCCAGACUCCUACGGGAGGCAGGAGUGGGGAAUAUUGCACAAUGGGCGGAAGCCUGAUGCAGCAACGCCGGGUGCGGGAUGACGGCCUUCGGGUUGUAAGCCGCUUUCGCCUGUGACGAAGCGUGAGUGACGGUAAUGGGUAAAGAAGCACGGGCAAAUUACGU
rnacentral:rRNA from 1 species